rnacentral:rRNA from 1 species
GCCUACGGCCAUACCACCCUGAACGCGCUCGAUCUUGUCUGAUCUCGGAAGCUAAGCAGGGUCGAGCCUGGUUAGUACUUGGAUGGAAAUAAUGAAUUGUUACACACUUUUGUCA